rnacentral:lncRNA from 1 species
AACUCUUUCACAACACUACCCUUCCUUUUUGAUGUGGAAGAUCAGACAAAACUGCAACCAUAGUGCAUACUAAGAACACUUAUCCCCAGAUCGAACAAAAAACUUUGAUACCAGAUGUUGGAAAAAAACAAACAAAGCAUAGAGAAAAAGAGGAACAUAACCACAAUAUAACAGCAUAACGUGGAAACUUCAAAAUCGGAGAAAAAACCACGAUCGUUGUCAAUAGACAACCAGAGAAUAACACUAUAUGAAAGUUAUUACAACACAUAAUA